AGACUUAGGUGGCAGGGGAGACAACACGAUGAUGAGGCUGGCUUUUCCCAGGGUGAGGCUCAGCCAUUGCAAGGCAGCUGUUCCGAUCCCUUCUAGUUCCUCACAGGUCAGAAAACUUGCAUGCAGAAUUUGUGAUAAUGGUGUUUGCAUUUACCCUCUCCUU
rnacentral:snRNA from 1 species